rnacentral:rRNA from 1 species
CCAGCACGUUAUGGUGGGCGACUCUAAGGAGACUGCCGGUGACAACCGGAGGAAGGUGGGGAUGACGUCAAGUCAUCAUGGCCCUUACGGCCUGGGCUACACACGUGCUACAAUGGUCGGUACAAAGGGUUGCCAAGCCGCGAGGUGGAGCUAAUCCCAUAAAACCGAUCGUAGUCCGGAUCGCAGUCUGCAACUCGACUGCGUGAAGUCGGAAUCGCUAGUAAUCGUGAAUCAGAAUGUCACGGUGAAUACGUUCCCGGGCCUU